rnacentral:pre_miRNA from 1 species
CACGGUUGUGAUCCAAAACUCUUUUUAAAUAGAGUUUUGGAUCACAACUGUGCU